AUUAAACGCUGGCGGCAUGCCUUACACAUGCAAGUCGAACGGCAGCACGGGGGUGACCCUGGUGGCGAGUGGCGGACGGGUGAGUAAUACAUCGGAACGUAUCCUGGAGUGGGGGAUAACGUAGCGAAAGUUACGCUAAUACCGCAUAUACUGUGAGCAGGAAAGCAGGGGCUCGCAAGACCUUGCGCUCUGGGAGCGGCCGAUGUCGGAUUAGCUAGUUGGUGGGGUAAAGGCCUACCAAGGCGACGAUCCGUAGCGGGUCUGAGAGGAUGAUCCGCCACACUGGGACUGAGACACGGCCCAGACUCCUACGGGAGGCAGCAGUGGGGAAUUUUGGACAAUGGGCGGAAGCCUGAUCCAGCCAUGCCGCGUGAGUGAAGAAGGCCUUCGGGUUGUAAAGCUCUUUCGGUGGGGAAGAAAUUGCACGGGUUAAUACCCUGUGUAGAUGACGGUACCCGACUAAGAAGCACCGGCUAACUACGUG
rnacentral:rRNA from 1 species